rnacentral:rRNA from 1 species
CCUACGGUUGACAGCAGUGGGGAAUAUUGCGCAAUGGGCGAAAGCCUGACGCAGCGACGCCGCGUUAGGGCUGAAGGUCUUCGGAUCGUAAACCUCUGUCAGCAGGGAAGAACGGUCACUGUGCUAAUCAGCAGUGAAUUGACGGUACCUGCAACGGAAGCACUGGCUAACUCCGUGCCAGCAGCCGCGGUAAUGCGGAGGGUGCGAGCGUUAAUCGGAAUUACUGGGCGUAAAGCGCUCGUAGGCGGUAUGUCAAGUCAAGGGGGAAAUACCCGCGCUCAACGUGGGAACUGCCUGUGAAACUGACAAACUUGAGUGUGUGAGAGGAUAGUGGAA